ACAUCGUGAUGGUAAUCU
rnacentral:siRNA from 1 species